rnacentral:rRNA from 1 species
UACGUAGGGACCGAGCGUUGUCCGGAAUCAUUGGGCGUAAAGAGCGUGUAGGCGGCCUUUUAAGUCCUGCGUGAAAUCCUGCGGCUCAACCGCAGACGGUCGUGGGAAACUGGAAGGCUAGAGUGCGGGAGAGGAGAGUGGAAUUCCCGGUGUAGCGGUGAAAUGCGCAGAUAUCGGGAAGAACACCCGUGGCGAAGGCGGCUCUCUGGAACGCAACUGACGCUGAGACGCGAAAGCGUGGGGGAGCAAACAGG